rnacentral:rRNA from 1 species
UGCCAGCCGCCGCGGUAAUACGGAGGGUGCAAGCGUUGUUCGGAAUUAUUGGGCGUAAAGCGCGUGUAGGCGGUUCGUUAAGUCUGAUGUGAAAGCCCGGGGCUCAACCCCGGAAGUGCCCUCAAAACUGUCGAUCUAGAGACCGGGAGAGGUAAGCGGAAUUCCUAGUGUAGAGGUGAAAUUCGUAGAUAUUAGGAAGAACACCAGUGGCGAAGGCGGCUUACUGGACCGGUACUGACGCUGAGGUACGAAAGCGUGGGGAGCGAACAGGAUUAGAUA